rnacentral:rRNA from 1 species
GUGUCAGCAGCCGCGGUAAUACGUAGGGGGCGAGCGUUGUCCGGAUUUAUUGGGCGUAAAGAGCUCGUAGGCGGCUCAGCAAGUCGACUGUGAAAACUCCGGGCUCAACUCGGAGACUCCAGUCGGUACUGCUGUGGCUUGAGUCCGACAGGGGAGCAUGGAAUUCCUGGUGUAGCGGUGAAAUGCGCAGAUAUCAGGAGGAACACCGGUGGCGAAGGCGGUGCUCUGGGUCGGUACUGACGCUGAGGAGCGAAAGCGUGGUAGCAAACAGGAUUAGAUACCCUGGUAGUCC